rnacentral:lncRNA from 1 species
GCGAGACUUCGUCUCAAAAAAAAAAAAUUCUUCUUCCAAGAUUCAAGUUGUGUCAUUUCACCUUAAUAACUGGAGGUUAGUUAAGCUGGGCUGUGUUCUUUGCUUAAUAUUAAGACAACGUUUUUUCCAGAUGGAAGAAAACUAUCUUAAUGAAUUGUUAGCUUAUUAAUUAUGUAAUGCUAAUGGCUUUUAAAAGCUGAGAUGUUCUGACUGGGUGUUGUGGCUCACACCUGUAAUCCCAGUACCUUGGGAGGCCAAGGGGGAAGGAUUGCUUGAGGCCAGGAGUUUGGGACCAUAGUGAGACCCCGCCUCUAUUUAAAAAAUUAAAUUUUGUUUUGUUUUGUUUUGAGUUGGAGUUUUGCUCUUGUUGCCCAUGCUGAAGUGCAAUGGUGCAAUCUCAGCUCACCACAACCUGUGCCUCCUGGGUUCAAGCGAUUCUCCUGCUUCAGCCUCCCGAGUAGAUGGGAUUACAGGCGUGCACCACCAUGCCUGGCUAAUUUUGUAUUUUUAGUAGAGACAGGGUUUCUCUAUGUUGGUCAGGCUGGUCUCAAACUCUCGACCUCAGGUGAUCUGCCCGCCUCCGCUUCCCAAAGUUCUGGGAUUAUAGGUGUGAGCCACUGGGCCUGGCCUAAGAAAGUUUUUUUAAGCCAUUAGACGUUUUUAAAGGAAUUGGGAGAUGACAAUUGGGGAAAUAUUUAAAAUUUAAGUAAAAUAUAAAGCUUCCUUAUUUCAUGUAACCCAGACAAUCUCAGUAUACAUGAUCAGUUGUGUCUGACAGGUAAAUCUAUUUGAGGCCUUAUCACACGUUACUUUUAAGAACUAGAAAGGAAAAGUCACUGAUCUUAAGUAUUUAUAAUACUUCAUGUGGUCUAAUACUUUUUACGUUUUGUUUUGAUUCAGAUUUAGUCCGGAUUCCCGGUAUCUGGCAGUAGGUUCUAGUGAGAACUCAGUGGAUUUUUAUGACCUAACGCUGGGCCCCACUCUUAACAGAAUCAGCUACUGCAAAGACAUUCCAAGCUUUGUCAUUCAAAUGGACUUCUCUGCAGAUAGCAGUUAUCUCCAGGUCUCUAGUGGCUGCUAUAAACGGCAUGUCUAUGAAGUGCCUUCAGGAAAACAUCUUAUGGAUCAUGCCGCUAUUGACAGAAUUACUUGGGCUACAUGGACUAGUAUUCUAGGAGAUGAGGUUUUGGGAAUCUGGUCCAGACAUGCUGAGAAAGCUGAUGUCAACUGUGCCUGUGUAUCUCAUUCAGGAAUCAGUCUUGUUACAGGAGAUGACUUUGGCAUGGUUAAGUUAUUUGACUUCCCAUGUCCAGAAAAAUUUGCAAAACACAAAAGGUUCUUGGGUCAUUCGCCCCAUGUGACAAAUAUUCGAUUUACCAGUGGUGAUCGACAUGUUGUUAGUGCUGGAGGUGAUGACUGCAGCUUAUUUGUCUGGAAAUGUGUACAUACACCUCACUGAGAGAUGCUGAGAUGACUACAGAAAUUAACUUUGAGACCAGAAUUACAGAGAAGAAAAACCAAAACCCAACCCUGCAUGGUCAAGUGGUGCUAACCCAAGACUGUAACAGGGAGAAAUGCCCAGAAUCAUCAAAAUAGUGAAAGACUGAUCUGUUCAAAAUAUUUGCUAUAUGCACUGGGUAUAAUCCGUAAUCCAUACACUGCCAGAUAAUGCCAUUUCAAGGAAGGAUCGAAUACUUGAUGGUAAAGGCCAAGUCCCCCUGUAUUGGGAAGUGUGUGAUUUCGGCAGACCUGCUGGGAAAAUUUAGGGUAGAGCACUCUUUACAGAAGAACUCAAAAACCCAAUUUGGAUAAUUUUCAUUAUCUUUUUAGCAAAAUGGUUUCUUAAUGUUUAUAUUUUAUUUUCAAGGUUCAUUGUUUAAUGAAAUAUUUUAUUCUUGCAUUUCCAUAAGGAAAGGGAAAGUCAUGAUCAUCCUAAAGGAUCACAGUUUUUAAAAGGCAAACAUUUUCCCUAAGGAAACAGACACAAGCUUUCCUAGAGAAUAUGAUGUUUUUUAGGCAUUAAUAAGGUCCUUUUUUAUAAAGGACACUUUUCUCCUAGUAGUUUUGAAUUCAGGAACAGAUCCAAAGUUAGCAGUAUAUGGCUGCUACAUUUCCAUUUUCAUUUUCGAGCCAUCAGUUUAUGUUCAGAUGCCAUCUCUGUAAUCGCACAUUUAAAACAUAACUGUAGCCUCACUAAUGGAAAAGUAGUAUGAUGAACAAUCAUUCCCAAUGGUGUACAAUGUAAGGGUUUUAGGGAGCAACAGUAUUUAACUGGAAGAAAGAAUUGCAUAUUUAAUGUAGUCUAAUAUAUACACAUUUGUUUAACAUGUAAACAAAAGUGUUAAAUUCACAUAUACAACAUUAUACAAUUUAAUCACUCUUGGAAUAAAAUUUUUAUAGCCUUUUUUCUAUUGGGAAAAUUUGUUUAGAUGUGUGCCACUCCAUAGGUUUAUUUCCAAAAUGAAUGAGCCCAACUCCAUUUGUAAAAACUUGUCAGUUAGAAUUCCUUUUUUUAGUGGAUUAGGGCUGAAUUCUUAGAUCCUUAUUUCUUUUCACUUUAAAUGCUGCCAAAGAUCACUACUCAUCAUUCAGGAAUUCGCUGUCUAGCCUAUCUGUAGUUUCCUGAAGAUUGAAAAUUAUGUAGACUGCUAUUUAAAAAUAUAUUUUUCUAAGUGUGAGGUUUAAGAUGCUGUAUUGACCCUAUGAGUUUUUAAUGUGUUAAUUAUCUUUAUAGCAUAAUAGAUCGCUUUAGGUUCCUGGAAUCCCAUUUGGUCUGACAGGAUAUAUGAAGAUUCUUAAUACCUAUUUUCUGUGUCUAAUACUUGGUUAAUACUAAAAAUAGAAAUGACUAAAUUACAUCACAGAAAGCAUAACCAGUGAUUGAACCUGGUAGUUUUAAAGCUCUAAAUAGCUGUGGCUGAAGGACUGAUUAUGGGGCUAAGAAGCUUGAAACGUAAGUUGGUACUUGUUCAUCAGUGGAUUCUCCUAAAUUAAGCCAAAUUUUGAAAUACAUGACUAUUAAGUUUCUACUCAUGUAUUUACAGUCAGUCAAUAAAUUAAAGGAGGAAAAAAAUCCCUGAACAACCUGCCCAUAAAAAGAAAAAUACUCUACAUUUGAGCCUGCUGCAGUUUUAAAUUUUCCCUCUGGGUCAAGUUUGCCAGCUUUUGGCUACAGAGAAAUUAUAUUUCCAUUACAGUGCAGGUAGAAACUCUGUAACCUUAAGCAUGUAAACUACAUAGAAUAAAACUGUUUCCACUGCAUUUCUGUCCUUCAAAGUGGCCAACCUGAUUAAGUCAGCCUUAAUCACUGCUGCUGUCAGUUUCACGACUAAAGGUCAUAUUGACUAAGUAGUCAUCAGCUGACCACCUCGCUGUAUCAGCCAGCAACGAGGGGAAGGUGAAGAAACAUGAUAGGCCAUAUAGAAUCUGCCCUAUGUUUACUUUUUUAACCCAGAUAAUUAUUUUUGUGUGCAGUAUCUAAGCUCCUGAUUGUGUAACCUGGGACUUCUGGCACCUUUUGUUCCAUUCAUUUUAUGUAUAAAAUGCAUGCCAAAGC